GGGUUGUGAGGUUAAGCGACUAAGCGUACACGGUGGAUGCCCUGGCAGUCAGAGGCGAUGAAGGACGUGCUAAUCUGCGAUAAGCGUCGGUAAGGUGAUAUGAACCGUUAUAACCGGCGAUUUCCGAAUGGGGAAACCCAGUGUGAUUCGUCACACUAUCAUUAACUGAAUCCAUAGGUUAAUGAGGCGAACCGGGGGAACUGAAACAUCUAAGUACCCCGAGGAAAAGAAAUCAACCGAGAUUCCCCCAGUAGCGGCGAGCGAACGGGGAGCAGCCCAGAGCCUGAAUCAGUGUGUGUGUUAGUGGAAGCGUCUGGAAAGGCGCGCGAUACAGGGUGACAGCCCCGUACACAAAAAUGCACAUACUGUGAGCUCGAUGAGUAGGGCGGGACACGUGGUAUCCUGUCUGAAUAUGGGGGGACCAUCCUCCAAGGCUAAAUACUCCUGACUGACCGAUAGUGAACCAGUACCGUGAGGGAAAGGCGAAAAGAACCCCGGCGAGGGGAGUGAAAAAGAACCUGAAACCGUGUACGUACAAGCAGUGGGAGCACAGAGCAAUCUGUGUGACUGCGUACCUUUUGUAUAAUGGGUCAGCGACUUAUAUUCUGUAGCAAGGUUAACCGAAUAGGGGAGCCGAAGGGAAACCGAGUCUUAACUGGGCGUUAAGUUGCAGGGUAUAGACCCGAAACCCGGUGAUCUAGCCAUGGGCAGGUUGAAGGUUGGGUAACACUAACUGGAGGACCGAACCGACUAAUGUUGAAAAAUUAGCGGAUGACUUGUGGCUGGGGGUGAAAGGCCAAUCAAACCGGGAGAUAGCUGGUUCUCCCCGAAAGCUAUUUAGGUAGCGCCUCGUGAAUUCAUCUCCGGGGGUAGAGCACUGUUUCGGCAAGGGGGUCAUCCCGACUUACCAACCCGAUGCAAACUGCGAAUACCGGAGAAUGUUAUCACGGGAGACACACGGCGGGUGCUAACGUCCGUCGUGAAGAGGGAAACAACCCAGACCGCCAGCUAAGGUCCCAAAGUCAUGGUUAAGUGGGAAACGAUGUGGGAAGGCCCAGACAGCCAGGAUGUUGGCUUAGAAGCAGCCAUCAUUUAAAGAAAGCGUAAUAGCUCACUGGUCGAGUCGGCCUGCGCGGAAGAUGUAACGGGGCUAAACCAUGCACCGAAGCUGCGGCAGCGACGCUGAUGCGUUGUUGGGUAGGGGAGCGUUCUGUAAGCCUGUGAAGGUGUGCUGUGAGGCAUGCUGGAGGUAUCAGAAGUGCGAAUGCUGACAUAAGUAACGAUAAAGCGGGUGAAAAGCCCGCUCGCCGGAAGACCAAGGGUUCCUGUCCAACGUUAAUCGGGGCAGGGUGAGUCGACCCCUAAGGCGAGGCCGAAAGGCGUAGUCGAUGGGAAACAGGUUAAUAUUCCUGUACUUGGUGUUACUGCGAAGGGGGGACGGAGAAGGCUAUGUUGGCCGGGCGACGGUUGUCCCGGUUUAAGCGUGUAGGCUGGUUUUCCAGGAAAAUCCGGAAAAUCAAGGCUGAGGCGUGAUGACGAGGCACUACGGUGCUGAAGCAACAAAUGCCCUGCUUCCAGGAAAAGCCUCUAAGCAUCAGGUAACAUCAAAUCGUACCCCAAACCGACACAGGUGGUCAGGUAGAGAAUACCAAGGCGCUUGAGAGAACUCGGGUGAAGGAACUAGGCAAAAUGGUGCCGUAACUUCGGGAGAAGGCACGCUGAUAUGUAGGUGAAGUCCCUCGCGGAUGGAGCUGAAAUCAGUCGAAGAUACCAGCUGGCUGCAACUGUUUAUUAAAAACACAGCACUGUGCAAACACGAAAGUGGACGUAUACGGUGUGACGCCUGCCCGGUGCCGGAAGGUUAAUUGAUGGGGUCAGCGCAAGCGAAGCUCUUGAUCGAAGCCCCGGUAAACGGCGGCCGUAACUAUAACGGUCCUAAGGUAGCGAAAUUCCUUGUCGGGUAAGUUCCGACCUGCACGAAUGGCGUAAUGAUGGCCAGGCUGUCUCCACCCGAGACUCAGUGAAAUUGAACUCGCUGUGAAGAUGCAGUGUACCCGCGGCAAGACGGAAAGACCCCGUGAACCUUUACUAUAGCUUGACACUGAACAUUGAGCCUUGAUGUGUAGGAUAGGUGGGAGGCUUUGAAGUGUGG
rnacentral:rRNA from 1 species